rnacentral:rRNA from 1 species
UCCGGUGAAAUAUUUAGAGAUGUGGAGGAAUACCGGUGGCGAAGACUCCCCCUUGGACAAAGCUUGACGAUCAGGUGUGAAAGUGUGGAGACCAAUCAGGUUUAGAUACCCCGUUAUUCCACGCGGUAAACGAUGUUGAUUAGGAGGUUGUUCCCUAGAGGAGUGCCUUCCGGACCUACGGUUUUAAAUCGCCCGCCUGGGGAGUACGCCCGCAAGGUUAAAAUUCAAAUAAAUAUAAGGGGGCCGCCCCAAGCGGGGGACCAUGUGGUUUAUUUCAACGCAAGGGGAAGACCCUUACUUAUUCUUGCCAUCCAGAGAAUUGAGCAGAGAUGAUUAAGUCCUUUGGGAAUCUUUGAAACAGGUGAUGCAUGGCUGUUGUCAGUUGGUGUUGUGAAAUGUUGGGUUAAUUCCCCCAACGAGCCCAACCUUUAUCCUUUGUUGCCAUCGAUUCGGUCGGGAACUCAAAGGAGACUGCCGGUGAUAAACCGGAGGAAGGUGGGGAUGACGUCAAGUCAUCAUGGCCCUUACGAGUAGGGCUACACACGUGCUACAAUGGCGGAUACAAAGAGAAGCGACCUCGCGAGAGCAAGCGGAACUCAUAAAG